rnacentral:rRNA from 1 species
UAGGGAAUCUUCCGCAAUGGGCGAAAGCCUGACGGAGCAACGCCGCGUGAGUGAUGAAGGUCUUCGGAUCGUAAAACUCUGUUAUUAGGGAAGAAUAAAUGUGUAAGUAACUAUGCACGUCUUGACGGUACCUAAUCAGAAAGCCACGGCUAACUACGUGCCAGCAGCCGCGGUAAUACGUAGGUGGCAAGCGUUAUCCGGAAUUAUUGGGCGUAAAGCGCGCGUAGGCGGUUUUUUAAGUCUGAUGUGAAAGCCCACGGCUCAACCGUGGAGGGUCAUUGGAAACUGGAAAACUUAAGUGCAGAAGAGGAAAGUGGAAUUCCAUGUGUAGCGGUGAAAUGCGCAGAGAUAUGGAGGAACACCAGUGGCGAAGGCGACUUUCUGGUCUGUAACUGACGCGGAUGUGCGAAAGCGUGGGGAUCAAACAGG